AGUUCCUUCGGGAAUGGAUUAGGGGCGAACGGGUGAGGAACACGUGAGAAACCUCCCUUUCAUUUUGGGAUAACACCGGGAAACCGGUGCUAAUACUGAAUACUCCGUCUUGGCGGCAUCGCUAAGCCGGGAAAGAAUUUCAAUGAAAGAUGGUCUCGCGGCCUAUCAGCUAGUUGGUGAGGUAAUGGCUCACCAAGGCGACAACGGGUAGCCGGCCUGAGAGGGCGACCGGCCACACUGGGACUGAGACACGGCCCAAACUCCUACGGGAGGCAGCAGUGGGGAAUAUUGGGCAAUGGGCGCAAGCCUGACCCAGCGACGCCGCGUGAGGGAUGAAGGCCUUCGGGUUGUAAACCUCUUUCAGUAGGGAAGAAGCGAAAGUGACGGUACCUAAAGAAAAAGCACCGGCUAACUAUGUG
rnacentral:rRNA from 1 species